UGCAAUCUAAUUUCAAUUAUCAACAAGUAGAUAAAUUGCUUUAAAAUAAACUAUUAAUCUUAAAAAUACAGUACGUUUACCUCCGAUUCGCUGUUUAACAGAAUAAUAUUAAAGACAUACAUACACAAAAUGAGUGGGCAACCCAGAUUUGAACCAUCACCAAAUGUAUUGGAAAUAUGUUGCUUCUGCCUUAUUGUAAUCGUCAUUGUGUUGAUUUUUAUAGCGAUUCUCAUAGCGAUUGCCACAGCAUUAGCUUAAAGUUCGACUUUUGAAUACACGACAUAAUCUUCUGCAGACGCCAUCAUUGCCAACAUUAAGGAGAUGCUCACUUACAGACGGACAGUAUUUUUUCCACACUAAAGCUAGUUUUAAAUGUGAACGAAAUAUAAACACAAGUGGACAACUU